CAUCAAUUUGCCUCACUACAACUCUGUAAGUCUUCGAUCUCCAGCUUUGCUUCUCCGUUCUGGUGAAUUCAUUCUUUGUGGAUCUGUAAGCCAUGAGUUUUGUUUUUUGAGGCACAAGAGGAGAUAUAGCAACUGGAUUUCCAGGCUUGAUCCCAGAGCGGCGUACUGGGCUGUGGUUGGUGCUUGGCGUUUUCCUGAUGGCAACAACACUCAGGAUGUAUGCAACCUGUCAGUAACUUCAAGCUCA